UACAUGUGUACAAGCACGCAGGCGGGUCAAGCCGCGAGAAUCAAUUAGUGUAAUAUUUAAACUAUCGUUUCGUACUUUUGAUGUUGUGCGUACACUGGAGAAUAACGUCCAUUCUCCAGCAACAAUGUUGAAAUCAGUAUUUUACUUAUGUAUUCAACUAGUUUUCUGUUGCCUUAUAAAGUGCAUUAAUUGUGAAAUCUAUACAUAGUGAGUGAUUUUCCUAUACUUUAUUACUAUAAAUGCAGACAUAAGUUUAAAAAUAUCGUCGCCGACAUAAGCGAAGACGUCGAAUUAAGAAGAAUAUUUCCAAGUGAAUUUCCUCAGGAUACUAUAAGAAAAAGUGGCAUUUUGGAUCCUGAACAUCUAGGUCGUUAUCUUGAAUUAAGUAACUAUUUUAAAUAUCCGAAGUCUAAGUUGAACAGUCAUUUCGAAGAAUUAGAUUGUUAUAAUAAUGAAAAUGGAAGAAAAGUAUGUAUGAUAGACACAAAUCAAUUUUCACCUGAUGAAGAACAAUACAUGGCGUCAGAUCUUACAAGUUAUACUGACAGACGUAGAAUAUACUGUUUCAUGCUAUUGUGCUUUAAUGAAGAUGAGCUUGAUAGGGUUGUCGCUUCUUUUUAAAAAAUAAAUUGCAAGUUCCGAUGUAAAUCUACAAGCAAAAACGUUAUUUAAGAAAAAAGUGUAGUUUUUUUAUUUAUAAAACACCGCUUUUUUAUAAAAUUUUACGUUAGAUUAAAUGUUCUAAUUCAAUUUCAUAAUUUUAUUUUUGAUUAAUAAAGUUGUAUCGCGUAUUUCAAAAGUGUUUUACUAAAAA
rnacentral:misc_RNA from 1 species